GCAAGCAGCCAGGAUGGUCUCGCCCUGAUUCAGUUCAGAUACUGUACUUUUAAGUUUUGGCAAAAAUUGCCUGCGGUAUUCUCUGCUCGCACAACUAGUUUUGAUCUUUAGUCUACUGAAUUAGUUGUUCGAUGGCACAGCUCCACUAUUAGAGCGACUUCUAGGAUCCCUUAGCUCCAGGUCCAACGCAUCCCUUAAAAUGAUCUUUCCACGAUCCCUCGGUGGAAAAUGAAUCGCCCUUCAAGGAUAUCCUAAGAAAACUUCUGGCAGAGGCAUUGAAGACAAGACCCUCCAAAAGAAAUUCUCUGAGGUGCAGAAAGAGAGAAGAGAACAGGCCCAGCGGACUGUUUUGAUACAUUGUCCAAAUAAUAUCAAUGAGAAAAAAUUUCUCAAGUAUUUAUCCCAGCAUGGACCAGUCAAUAAUCAUUUCUUCUACGAGAGCUUUAAUUUUGCCAAAAAGACAGUAUAAAGUCAUUGCAGAAUGGAACACAUACUC
rnacentral:lncRNA from 1 species